GCUUGUCUCAAAGAUUAAGCCAUGCAUGUCUAAGUAUAAGCCUUUAUAUGGUGAGACUGCGAAUGGCUCAUUAAAUCAGAAACUGUUUAUUUGAUAGUGCCUACUACAUGGAUACCUGUAGUAAUUCUAGAGCUAAUACAUGCGAAAAGACCCGACUUCUGGAAGGGUUGUAUUUAUUAGAUAAAAAACCAAUGGGGGCAACCUCUUUGUGGUGAUUCAUAAUAACUUUGCGAAUCGCAUGGCCUUGUGCCGGCGAUGAAUCAUUCAAAUUUCUGCCCUAUCAACUUUCGAUGGUAAGGUAUUGGCUUACCAUGGUUGCAACGGGUGACGGGGAAUUAGGGUUCGAUUCCGGAGAGGGAGCCUGAGAAAUGGCUACCACAUCCAAGGAAGGCAGCAGG
rnacentral:rRNA from 1 species